UGUCUCCAAGCACGUCUGACAGCAGCGAGGAAUAAUUGCUUCCUCAUUUAGAUUAGACAAUGUGCUCUCUGCAAGCCGCACUCCUCUAAAUAGAUUGGAGAGAGUAAUUGAAGCGGGUUAUACUGGGAAGCGGAGUGGCCGAUUCCUCCUGGUGUGAGUGUGGAGAGCCUCGGUAACCCCUUCAGUCCGGCCUUCAUCCUGUUCCUAUUUAGGGAACCCGCAGAGCAGCGGCGCUGAGUGCCUGCGCCUCGCUGCCUUUAUUGUUUAGACUUGGGGGUGGGGUGGGGGAGGUCACAUGCCCUCUUUGACAGAGAGGUUUAUGGACUCUCUAAUUAGCUGCACCCUCCACCCGACAGACAGUUGGCCACCUUCCAAGAAUGGGGGUUUGGUGGCCACUGCUGAAGGAGAAAACAAGGUUAUUUACCCCUGUGACUGUAGUUCUUGGCACAAGCUCACCCUUUACACUCAGACACGUUUGCCUUUGUUCCAACCUGCGUUUGGAAUUCUGAGCAGGGCGUUGAGGAAAAUGCGGCUAUAUAUUUAGUGCUACACGCAGCACAUAUGUUGGCCUCAGACCCUUCUCACUAUCCCAAGGCCUCAAACAAAAAAAAGGGUAACAGAGCGGUGCUUGCACAUGCCCACCCACCCGCAAGCUCAGAAAAGGAAGUUAAAUUCGCAACAUCUAUAAAAUAACGACAGUUGUACGUUGGGGCAGUUGGAAGUCCCAACGGUAAAACGUGAUUGGGUUUAGCUAUUACUGGAGUGCCCGGAAUAUAUUUGGCUUAUCCUGUUCCGUCGGAUCUGCGGGGAUGGUGGGUUAAGCCGAUAGAAAUGCUUUGGGACUGAUUCAAACCAGAUGCUCCGGGCGCAGCCCAGCGUUAGGCAAGGCUGCCCCCUCGGCAGUCCUCCAGCGCAGCCAAAGCCGCGGGUUCUCCACCAGAUACCUCGGCCAUAAAAAGCUUUCAAGUCCCCAUUGUUAUUCCAGGCACAUUCCAGGGGGAUUGAGUCACAGACUCAACAGGACUUUCUCCUGGCUUGAACUGCCGGUAACAGGGUGGAUCAGACCCCCACCUUCGAGUAUGCAAUCCACUUCUGGUCAAAAGGCGCUUUAGGGCAAGCUCCAGGCCUUUCUGGUCUGGGCUGUCCUCUCCUCCUGCAGGACCUCCCAUCACCCAAAGAGGGAGGAGCUACAAGUACCCUCUCCAUUUUCUCCAAAACCUGAGCGUGUCUGGAGAAGUGUGCCCUGGGAGGGCGGCCGCGCCCCUGUGACGUUCGUGAGCAGUUUUGGCGAUCUGCUCUGCAACUGUGUUCGCCAAGGAUUCUGCGCUCUUCCGGAAAGCCUGCGUGUAUCGGAGGCUGCGAUGUGAACAAAUCGUUUCCACUCGAGUUGUUUAAGCUGCCCUUCAUAAAGUUGUCCUCAGAUUUUUA